CAAAUAUUAUAAAAGAUAUAUGUCACUGAGGAGUUAACAAACAUAUUUCAAUUUUAAUGCCAAAAAAUAAACAUUUUUGAACCAAAAGGAGGUAAAUACGAUUUUUGUUUGAUGUGUUUGAGAUUUUGAUUGUCCAAUUUGAUUAGGACUUGUGCUUUGUCCUUAUCUUUCGAUGCUGUGUCUCUUUACUAGACCAGACCAAUUUGUAUUGGACUAUGGCCAAUGUCAGGCGAUCGUGGGA
rnacentral:lncRNA from 1 species